rnacentral:rRNA from 1 species
UGGGGAAUAUUGCACAAUGGAGGGAACUCUGAUGCAGCGACGCCGCGUGAACGAAGAAGGCUUUCGCGUCGUAAAGUUCUUUUAUAUGGGAAGAUAAUGACGGUACCAUAAGAAAAAGCCCCGGCUAACUACGUGCCAGCAGCCGCGGUAAUACGUAGGGGGCUAGCGUUGACCGGAAUCACUGGGCGUAAAGGGUUCGCAGGCGGAAAUGCAAGCCAGGUGUAAAAGGCAGUAGCUUAACUACUGUAAGCAUUUGAAACUGCAUAUCUUGAGAAGAGUAGAGGUAAGUGGAAUUUUUAGUGGAGCAGUGAAAUACGUAGAUAUUAAAAAGAAUACCGGUGGCGAAGGCGGCUUACUGGGCUCAUUCUGACGCUGAGGAACGAAAGCGUGGGUAGCAAACAGG